ACGAACGCUGGCGGCGUGCUUAACCCAUGCCAGUCGCACGGAAAGGCCCUGCUUUUGUGGGGUGCUCGAGUGGCGAACGGGUGAGUAACACGUGAGUAACCUGCCCUUGACUUUGGGAUAACUUCAGGAAACUGGGGCUAAUACCGGAUAGGAGCUCCUGCUGCAUGGUGGGGUUGGUAAGGUUUCGGGGGUUGGGGAUGGACUUGGGGUUUAUCAGCUUUUUGUUGGGGAGGUGGCUUACCAAGGCUUGGCGGGGAAGCCGUCCUGGGAGGGUGACCGGCAACAUUGGGACUGAGAUACGGCCCAGACUCCUACGGGAGGCAGCAGUGGGGAAUAGUGCACAAUGGGCGGAAGCCUGAUGCAGCAACGCCGCGUGCGGGAUGACUGCCUUCGGGUUGUAAACCGCUUUCGCCUGUGACGAAGCGUGAGUGACGGUAAUGGGUAAAGAAGCACCGGCUAACUACGUG
rnacentral:rRNA from 1 species